rnacentral:rRNA from 1 species
UACGGAGGAUGCAAGCGUUAUCCGGAAUUAUUGGGCGUAAAGCGUCCGUAGGUGGCCCUUCAAGUCAGCUGUUAAAUACUAGGGCUCAACCCUGGAGCGGCAGUGGAAACUGAAGAGCUAGAGUUCGGUAGGGGUAGAGGGAAUUCCCAGUGUAGCGGUGAAAUGCGUAGAGAUUGGGAAGAACACCGGUGGCGAAAGCGCUCUGCUAGGCCUAAACUGACGCUGAUGGACGAAAGCUAGGGGAGCGAAUGGG